UACGAAGGGUGCUAGCGUUGUUCGGAAUUACUGGGCGUAAAGGGCGCGUAGGCGGUUUACUAAGUUAGGUGUGAAAGCCCAGGGCUCAACCCUGGAAUUGCACUUAAAACUGGUAAGCUAGAGAUUGGGAGAGGAAAGUAGAAUUCCUAGUGUAGAGGUGAAAUUCGUAGAUAUUAGGAAGAAUACCAGUGGCGAAGGCGGCUUUCUGGACCAAUACUGACGCUGAGGCGCGAAAGCGUGGGGAGCAAACAGG
rnacentral:rRNA from 1 species